rnacentral:misc_RNA from 1 species
UGCUUCACUAUAUUUGUACGUGUAUGCACGCGGGUAUACCUCCGCGCUCAGUCCACGCCGACACUUGCAGCUUUGUUCAUCUGUCGUUUUCCCUUUUUUGCCUUUUGCCCCUUUUUGUUUCGCCUUUCUUUGCCUCUUUCUGCCAUUUUCGCCGCCUCCAUCUCUCCGUGCAUGCAGACGUCCCCGCACUGACGCACAAAGCGGACGCACUGCUUACUACUGCCGCCCACUUUUUUUGUGUGUGCUGUUGUUGCGGUUCAUUUCAGCGCCAUUACCAUCACACGACGACAAGUUCUGUCAUGGACUCCGACUACCCACGACCAUCCGGCAUCACCGUGGGCUCGCCAGGCUUGCCUCCUGGCAGCUUGGGCUCUCCAUUUCCGGAGCAGAUGAACAGCCCACACUCUUCCGACGCGAUGCAAGGCAGCAACGCCUCUCACGUUCCGUUGACGAUGCACGCGGACGGUGGCCAGCACUCGAAGCCACACUCGCCGCCGCUGACGUCGGGGGCGGAAGUGCUGUCCGCCCCGCACCAUUCCCACUUAGCUGGCGUGAAUGCCCCUUGGGAUGAAGACGAUGACUGGACCACGCCAGGCGCACCCGCGCAACAUUCUGCUUCGGCCGCAGCACCGGCGAAACUCCCACUCCCUCCGGGGAAUCACGCUGCUCCUCCGGUUUCCAUAGCCGAGCAGACGAACCCCGGCUCCCCCGCUGAGCCUCACCCCACGCCAGUCGCCAUGUCGCCGCCGCCGUCGGAUGGCUUUAUCGCCUCCUCUUCGCCGGGGGGCUCGCCUAACCGCCCGCCCACGCCGCCGGAGAAGCCCUCCGCGGCUAACGUCGCCAAAAUGGAUGCGCUCAAGAAGCAGAUCGCCAGCCGCACCGCCGCCAUGGACGCUGCGACGAAGGAGAAGGAGACGAAGAUUAUGACUGCGGCGCAGGAGUACCUCAAAGCGCUCAUGGCAAAGCGUGAGGAGGAGGUGAUGAAUGCAAAAGCAAGUCACAAGGAGGAGCAGCAGGUGGGCGCUGAAAAGAUCAACGAGUACAAGAGGAGCGGUGCUGUCUGGAGCGCAGUGGGCCUGCUGGUGGACUUGCAGAAGCCGAACCAGUACUCCAAAAGCACGGAGCAGAUGCGCACCGUGCUCUCCACGCUGAACGCCGCGCCUGCCAAGAAGUAAGCCCUUACAGUGAUGCUGCUGAUCGGCAGCUGCCGGCAUCGUUCUUACAAUGUUUGUUUUUCGGUUUUUUUUUAUUGCGCCUUGUUUUUCUCUGCGCGCCCUUCCCUCCGCCACGUAUUGCAUGUCGUCAUUCUCCUCUUGUGUUGCAUGAAGGCCGAGAGAGGCGAUGCAAGGUAGAGCUCUUUUUUUUUGCGGGGAGAAGGGGCGCGCCUUUGUGCUUGUGUCUGCAGUGUGGCAGACGGUGGCGGCAAUGCUACCGUGAUUUCUGAUGCUCUCGAGCCGAGACUUUGCUGAGAAUUUUGCGUCUCUCACGCACAGUUCGAAAAAGAAGACUGCACGACGUCUUUGGGGCUUGUUUCGCUAUCUUGCAAGGGUUGAGGAGCAGACGAAAUUGGGGAGAACGAAGGCCAAAGGAGGAGCCGCGCGGUGCUACUGUAUCCCGCACGCGUCUGCUCGCCGUUUCCUCUGACAUCGACGCAUGUGCCUUUUCGAACACACUCGUUUGCUCUGAUCACAACUUUGAUGUGCAUUUUCCAGCUGUCAGUGUGUGUGUGUGUGUGUGUGUGUCUCCUUACAUGCCCUUGGCCGUGGGUGCACACUUUUUUUUCGUUUCCUCGGCGGUUGUCUUUCUUUUGUUAUUCCCUCGUUGCGUAGCGUUGCCUGUUUGUGCACGGACGGUGAGAGAAGAGGAUGCGUUGAGAGGGGGUGUCCCUCAUCUCCCGUCCUCCUCCUCCAGCGCCCCCCUCUCUCCCUCUUCCGUCAGCCCGUUGCUCCUGUACGUCUCUACUCUGUGGGCUUCCAUCAGCUCGACACCCGAAACGAGAGAGAAGGUAAAAUACACACCCCUCUGUGCGCUGCGGUGUUGCGAUCGCUUGUCUGAUUCG